GUGCUUUUGCACAUUGGGUAGGGGAGCGUUCUGUAAGCGGUUGAAGGUGUGUGGUAACGCAUGCUGGACGUAUCAGAAGUGCGAAUGCUGACAUGAGUAACGAUAAAGGGGGUGAAAAACCUCCUCGCCGGAAGACCAAGGGUUCCUGUCCAACGUUAAUCGGGGCAGGGUAAGUCGACCCCUAAGGCGAGGCCGAAAGGCGUAGUCGAUGGGAAACGGGUUAAUAUUCCCGUACUUCUUACAAUUGCGAUGGGGGGACGGAGAAGGCUAGGUGGGCCUGGCGACGGUUGUCCAGGUUCAAGUGCGUAGGCUUAAGAGUUAGGUAAAUCCGGCUCUUUUUAAGGCUGAGACACGACGUCGAGCACCUACGGGUGUGAAGUCAUUGAUGCCAUGCUUCCAGGAAAAGCCUCUAAGCUUCAGAUUGUAAGG
rnacentral:rRNA from 1 species